GACGAACGCUGGCGGCGUGCUUAACACAUGCAAGUCGAACGGCAAGGCCCUGCUUUUGUGGGGUGCUCGAGUGGCGAACGGGUGAGUAACACGUGAGUAACCUGCCCUUGACUUUGGGAUAACUUCAGGUAACUGGGGCUAAUACCGGAUCGGAGCUCCUGCUGCAUGGUGGGGGUUGGAAAGUUUCGGCGGUUGGGGAUGGACUCGCGGCUUAUCAGCUUGUUGGUGGGGUAGUGGCUUACCAAGGCUUUGACGGGUAGCCGGCCUGGGAGGGUGACCGGCGACAUGGGGACUGAGAUAGGGCGCAGACGCGUACGGGAGGCAGCAGGGGGGAGUAUGGCACAAUGGGAGGAAGCGUGAUGCAGAAACGCCGCGGGCGGGAUGACGGCCUGCGGGUUGUAAACCGCUUUCGCCUGUGACGAAGCGGGAGUGACGGUAAUGGGUAAAGAAGCACCGGCUAACUACGUG
rnacentral:rRNA from 1 species